AUGUCCAGCCACUUCAAAGGGUCGAGAUUAGGAGGUAUACAAAAACCAAGAGGAGAAGAGAACCAGGCACACUUUGCAAAUUGGCAUUCCGAGAAAACAUGUUGGGUAGAUUUAGGAAACUCAAGGCAAAAAGGGCAGUCAGUUUCAAUUUUCAUACCUUUUUUCACAAGGUUUACCCUAGUAGGGAGGAUGUUCUUGCCAAAGCGCCAGAUGAAAUUUCUUAUACGCGGAUGGACCAGGGCCUUCCAAACCUUCUUCCAUAGGGAGGUAUUAUGCGGUGAAGAAGGACUAUCCUUCAAGCCUUCUCUCUUGUUUCUUUGUAAAUGA